CGGGUGAGUAACGCAUAGGUCAUGUGCCUCUUAGUUUGGGAUAGCCAUUGGAAACGAUGAUUAAUACCAGAUACUCCCUACGGGGGAAAGAUUUAUCGCUAAGAGAUCAGCCUAUGUCCUAUCAGCUUGUUGGUAAGGUAAUGGCUUACCAAGGCUAUGACGGGUAUCCGGCCUGAGAGGGUGAACGGACACACUGGAACUGAGACACGGUCCAGACUCCUACGGGAGGCAGCAGUAGGGAAUAUUGCUCAAUGGGGGAAACCCUGAAGCAGCAACGCCGCGUGGAGGAUGAAGGUUUUAGGAUUGUAAACUCCUUUUGUUAGAGAAGAUAAUGACGGUAUCUAACGAAUAAGCACCGGCUAACUCCGUGCCAGCAGCCGCGGUAAUACGGAGGGUGCAAGCGUUACUCGGAAUCACUGGGCGUAAAGAGCGCGUAGGCGGGAUAGUCAGUCAGGUGUGAAAUCCUAUGGCUUAACCAUAGAACUGCAUUUGAAACUACUAUUCUAGAGUGUGGGAGAGGUAGGUGGAAUUCUUGGUGUAGGGGUAAAAUCCGUAGAGAUCAAGAGGAAUACUCAUUGCGAAGGCGACCUGCUGGAACAUUACUGACGCUGAUUGCGCGAAAGCGUGGGGAGCAAACAGGAUUAGAUACCCUGGUAGUCCACGCCCUAAACGAUGGAUGCUAGUUGUUGGAGGGCUUAGUCUCUCCAGUAAUGCAGCUAACGCAUUAAGCAUCCCGCCUGGGGAGUACGGUCGCAAGAUUAAAACUCAAAGGAAUAGACGGGGACCCGCACAAGCGGUGGAGCAUGUGGUUUAAUUCGAAGAUACACGAAGAACCUUACCUAGGCUUGACAUUGAGAGAAUCCGCUAGAAAUAGUGGAGUGUCUGGCUUGCCAGACCUUGAAAACAGGUGCUGCACGGCUGUCGUCAGCUCGUGUCGUGAGAUGUUGGGUUAAGUCCCGCAACGAGCGCAACCCCCUUUCUUAGUUGCUAACAGGUUAUGCUGAGAACUCUAAGGAUACUGCCUCCGUAAGGAGGAGGAAGGUGGGGACGACGUCAAGUCAUCAUGGCCCUUACGCCUAGGGCUACACACGUGCUACAAUGGGGUGCACAAAGAGAAGCAAUACUGCGAAGUGGAGCCAAUCUUCAAAACAUCUCUCAGUUCGGAUUGUAGGCUGCAACUCGCCUGCAUGAAGCUGGAAUCGCUAGUAAUCGCAAAUCAGCCAUGUUGCGGUGAAUACGUUCCCGGGUCUUGUACUCACCGCCCGUCACACCAUGGGAGUUGUGUUUGCCUUAAGUCAGGAUGCUAA
rnacentral:rRNA from 1 species